AGAGUUUGAUUAUGGCUCAGGAUGAACGCUAGCGGCAGGCCUAACACAUGCAAGUCGAGGGGUAGAACACUUCGGUGUUUGAGACCGGCGCACGGGUGCGUAACGCGUAUGCAAUCUACCUUAUACAGGGGAAUAGCCCAGAGAAAUUUGGAUUAAUGCCCCAUAGUGUUAUAGAAUCGCAUGGUUUUAUAACUAAAGUUCCAACGGUAUAAGAUGAGCAUGCGUCCCAUUAGUUAGUUGGUAAGGUAACAGCUUACCAAGACAAUGAUGGGUAGGGGUCCUGAGAGGGAGAUCCCCCACACUGGUACUGAGACACGGACCAGACUCCUACGGGAGGCAGCAGUGUGGAAUAUUGGUCAAUGGGCGCAAGCCUGAACCAGCCAUGCCGCGUGCAGGAAGAAGCAUCUAUGGUGUGUAAACUGC
rnacentral:rRNA from 1 species